AGCAAAAAAGGUGGAAGGAAAUUUGGACUGCAAACAUGCCAGGUCCAAUAAUCCCUAGAGAGGAGGGGUGCAGAUGGAAGAAAAGGUGAUACCGUCGAACCGUGGGCCUCGUAUCCAACGGAUUUCCCUGACCCAAACUUCUUGAAAUAGGUCAAGCAUGGCGCCUCUAACACAGAUGGGAGAUGAACGAGAGAAGACUGCAGAACGGCGAGUGGCGCUUUAUCCUUGGACUGCCUUUUGCAUUUUGGAGCUCAUCGCCGUCGUCACGCACAUCGCCAUGGCACGUCUCGUCCUCGGGUUCAGCUCUUCUUCAUCACUUGAACAUGUAUCAUUGGGGAACUGAAAAAGCUCGUCGAAGAAACGCGAACACCUCCGUAUUGACGUCUUUUCCACAUCAUCCGCCACAACUUUAAAGGUUCGCCAUCCAAACCACUUCAUCGUCGCUAACCCAUAAACAGAAGGAAAACAAAGGUUGAAGACGACUUGAAACUUACCAGAUCAAACAGGUUCCUUCCAUUUUGAUUGCUGUACUUUUUCCAUUUCAAAAACUUGCUUCUGAAAUGAAUCUUCUGAUAUGGAUUGUACUCUUCAAUGCCGUAUUUGAGGUAGCAUUGGCUAGUUUUGAGCUUCCACACUGAAAUGUUGAAUGAAGAUUGGCGUUCACGGUGGGAAAGAUGCGAUUGGAAGUGGAAGAAAGGAUCUGCAGAAGCGAAUUCAGAAAGUUCUGGUUUUUGGAAGCUAGAGAUUGAACCUGGAAUUCUGUUGAAGAUCACUUUUCGGGCCAGUGAUUCCAGAGCAUGAAGUGAAGUGUUUCAUGGAAGAGAAAAGCUUGAUCUUUGAAGAUUGCAUGAAGUCAGGAAAGCAUGAAGAUGUGGAUGUCUUAGAACUUAAUCUAGAAUAUUAGGACUUGUUUGAAUCUUGAGAUGGAUUUGUAUUGGUAGGAUCACGUGGUUAUGCUUUAGAGUUUAGUACAUGUGAGAAAUGGUUUUGAAUUAUUUAUUAUGUAAUGAGGUAUAGCUUGAAUUUUGUUCAUGGGAUUCAAAUUGUAAAUGGAAGCAAAUAUUGAAUAUUGUAAAGUGAAUGGAAUUGGUCUUAUGGACUUGUUUUUGAAA